CCUACGGGGGGCAGCAGUGGGGAAUAUUGCACAAUGGGGGAAACCCUGAUGCAGCGACGCCGCGUGAGUGAAGAAGUAUUUCGGUACGUAAAGCUCUAUCAGCAGGGAAGAAAAAAAGUCCUUUGGACUUUGGACGGUACCUGACCAAGAAGCCCCGGCUAACUACGUGCCAGCAGCCGCGGUAAUACGUAGGGGGCAAGCGUUAUCCGGAUUUACUGGGUAUAAAGGGAGCGUAGACGGUGAUGCAAGUCAGAAGUGAAAGCCCGCGGCUCAACUGCGGGACUGCUUUUGAAACUGUAUAACUA
rnacentral:rRNA from 1 species